UACGAAGGGGGCUAGCGUUGCUCGGAAUUACUGGGCGUAAAGCGCACGUAGGCGGAUUGUUAAGUCAGGGGUGAAAUCCCGGGGCUCAACCCCGGAACUGCCUUUGAUACUGGGUAUCUCGAGUCCGAGAGAGGUGAGUGGAAUUCCGAGUGUAGAGGUGAAAUUCGUAGAUAUUCGGAGGAACACCAGUGGCGAAGGCGGCUCACUGGCUCGGUACUGACGCUGAGGUGCGAAAGCGUGGGGAGCAAACAGG
rnacentral:rRNA from 1 species